rnacentral:rRNA from 1 species
AACGAACGCUGGCGGCAGGCUUAACACAUGCAAGUCGAACGAUCUCUUCGGAGGUAGUGGCAGACGGGUGAGUAACACGUGGGAACGUACCUUUCAGUCAGGAAUAACUCAUGGAAACGUGAGCUAAUACCCGAUACGCCCUUAUGGGGAAAGAUUUAUCGCUGAAAGAUCGGCCCGCGUCUGAUUAGCUUGUUGGUGGGGUAAUGGCCUACCAAGGCGACGAUCAGUAGCUGGUCUGAGAGGAUGAUCAGCCACACUGGGACUGAGACACGGCCCAGACUCCUACGGGAGGCAGCAGUGGGGAAUAUUGGACAAUGGGCGCAAGCCUGAUCCAGCCAUGCCGCGUGAGUGAUGACGGCCUUAGGGUUGUAAAGCUCUUUCGACGGGGACGAUAAUGACGGUACCCGUAGAAGAAGCCCCGGCUAACUUCGUGCCAGCAGCCGCUGUAA